ACGCUCGACACCUGAGGCAGCAGUCGGGAAUAUUGCGCAAUGGAGGAAACUCUGACGCAGUGACGCCGCGUGCAGGAAGAAGGUUUUCGGAUUGUAAACUGCUUUAGACAGGGAAGAAAGAAAUGACAGUACCUGUAGAAUAAGCUCCGGCUAACUACGUGCCAGCAGCCGCGGUAAUCUGAGCGGGCUGGCAAGGC
rnacentral:rRNA from 1 species